GGCGUGGUAGCCAAGUGGUAAGGCAGUGGUCUGCAAAACCACUAUGCAGCGGUUCAAAUCCGCUCCACGCCU
rnacentral:tRNA from 1 species